rnacentral:rRNA from 1 species
UACAGGGGGGGCAUGCGUUGUUCGGAAUUACUGGGCGUAAAGGGUUCGUAGGUGGCCACCUAAGUCAGACGUGAAAUCCCUCAGCUUAACUGGGGAACUGCGUCUGAUACUGGGUGGCUUGAGUGCAGGAGAGGAAUGCGGAAUUCCAGGUGUAGCGGUGAAAUGCGUAGAUAUCUGGAGGAACACCGGUGGCGAAGGCGGCAUUCUGGACUGUAACUGACACUGAGGAACGAAAGCCAGGGGAGCAAACGGG